GUUUUGGCUGAUGAGGCUUUCCUGUCCGUCCGUAUUAGGGUCCGUUCGGGUAAACCAGGGUUUUUGUUAUAAAUAUAUAUGGCUAAGACCACCUGAGAUCUCAAAAUCACGCGUUACUUUGUAAAAGGCCUGAGCUCAACCCUGUUCGCGCACGUUUGAAAAAAAAAGCAAACGGAAUGGAUUCGAUACGAUGAAUGAUAGAAAUUAUUUAAAAAGGACACUCGUC